UAGGGAAUCUUCGGCAAUGGACGAAAGUCUGACCGAGCAACGCCGCGUGAGUGAAGAAGGUUUUCGGAUCGUAAAACUCUGUUGUUAGAGAAGAACAAGGACGUUAGUAACUGAACGUCCCCUGACGGUAUCUAACCAGAAAGCCACGGCUAACUACGUGCCAGCAGCCGCGGUAAUACGUAGGUGGCAAGCGUUGUCCGGAUUUAUUGGGCGUAAAGCGAGCGCAGGCGGUUUCUUAAGUCUGAUGUGAAAGCCCCCGGCUCAACCGGGGAGGGUCAUUGGAAACUGGGAGACUUGAGUGCAGAAGAGGAGAGUGGAAUUCCAUGUGUAGCGGUGAAAUGCGUAGAUAUAUGGAGGAACACAAGUGGCGAGGGCGGCUCUCUGGUCUGUAACUGACGCUGAGGCUCGAAAGCGUGGGGAGCAAACAGG
rnacentral:rRNA from 1 species